rnacentral:sRNA from 1 species
GUCGUGAGAUGUUGGGUUAAGUCCCGCAACGAGCGCAACCCUUGUCAUUAGUUGCUACAUUCAGUUGGGCACUCUAAUGAGACUGCCGGUGACAAACCGGAGGAAGGUGGGGAUGACGUCAAGUCCUCGUGGCCCUUAUGGGUAGGGCUUCACACGUAAUACAAUGGCGCGUACAGAGGGUUGCCAAGCCGCGAGGUGGAGCCAAUCCCACAAAGCGCGUCGUAGUCCGGAUUGCAGUCUGCAACUCGACUGCAUGAAGUCGGAAUCGCUAGUAAUCGCGGAUCAGCAUGUCGCGGUGAAUACGUUCCCGGGUCUUGUACACACCGCCCGUCACACCAUGGGAGUGGGUUUCACCAGAAGCCGGUCGCCUAACCGCAAGGAGGGCGCCGACCACGGUGAGAUUCAUGACUGGGGUGAAGUCGUAACAAGGUAGCCGUAUCGGAAGGUGCGGCUGGAUCACCUCCUUUCUAAGACAUGGCGCUUCUCAGUGCCCGCCUCUAUCGGCUGUCUCUUCGCUAAGAGCGUUGUUGCGUUCGGCCUUACGGGUCUGUAGCUCAGUUGGUUAGAGCACCGUCUUGAUAAGGCGGGGGUCGAUGGUUCGAAUCCAUCCAGACCCACCACUGGAACGCAUCGCUCUUUAACAAUCUGGAAUGAAGGUAGUCGUCUCGAGGAAAGUCGCGUUGUGAUGACGCGGCGAGUAGUCGGGACACUGGGUUAUGUAUUGCAUCGUGCCUCCACUGGAAGGUGGGGGCGCACAAGCGCGAGAGUUUCCUGUAGCCGAGUGAUGUGUGGGGCGACUUUGGCUCCGCACGCCCUGGUUUCACCGGGGCAGCAAGGUUAUAGGGUCAAGCGAAUAAGUGCAUGUGGUGGAUGCCUUGGCAAUGAUAGGCGAUGAAGGACGUGACAGCCUGCGAUAAGCAGCGGGGAGCCGGCAAAUGGGCUUUGAUCCGCUGAUUU